rnacentral:rRNA from 1 species
CGGGGAAACGGAGUUAUCUGAACCUUCGGGGAACGAUAACGGCGUCGAGCGGCGGACGGGUGAGUAAUGCCUAGGAAAUUGCCCUGAUGUGGGGGAUAACCAUUGGAAACGAUGGCUAAUACCGCAUAAUGCCUACGGGCCAAAGAGGGGGACCUUCGGGCCUCUCGCGUCAGGAUAUGCCUAGGUGGGAUUAGCUAGUUGGUGAGGUAAUGGCUCACCAAGGCGACGAUCCCUAGCUGGUCUGAGAGGAUGAUCAGCCACACUGGAACUGAGACACGGUCCAGACUCCUACGGGAGGCAGCAGUGGGGAAUAUUGCACAAUGGGCGCAAGCCUGAUGCAGCCAUGCCGCGUGUGUGAAGAAGGCCUUCGGGUUGUAAAGCACUUUCAGUCGUGAGGAAGGUGGUAGUGUUAAUAGCACUAUCAUUUGACGUUAGCGACAGAAGAAGCACCGGCUAACUCCGUGCCAGCAGCCGCGGUAAUACGGAGGGUGCGAGCGUUAAUCGGAAUUACUGGGCGUAAAGCGCAUGCAGGUGGUUUGUUAAGUCAGAUGUGAAAGCCCGGGGCUCAACCUCGGAAUAGCAUUUGAAACUGGCAGACUAGAGUACUGUAGAGGGGGGUAGAAUUUCAGGUGUAGCGGUGAAAUGCGUAGAGAUCUGAAGGAAUACCGGUGGCGAAGGCGGCCCCCUGGACAGAUACUGACACUCAGAUGCGAAAGCGUGGGGAGCAAACAGGAUUAGAUACCCUGGUAGUCCACGCCGUAAACGAUGUCUACUUGGAGGUUGUGGCCUUGAGCCGUGGCUUUCGGAGCUAACGCGUUAAGUAGACCGCCUGGGGAGUACGGUCGCAAGAUUAAAACUCAAAUGAAUUGACGGGGGCCCGCACAAGCGGUGGAGCAUGUGGUUUAAUUCGAUGCAACGCGAAGAACCUUACCUACUCUUGACAUCCAGAGAACUUUCCAGAGAUGGAUUGGUGCCUUCGGGAACUCUGAAAAAAGUGCUGC